rnacentral:rRNA from 1 species
CGGACGGGUGAGUAAUGUCUGGGAAACUGCCCGAUGGAGGGGGAUAACUACUGGAAACGGUAGCUAAUACCGCAUAACGUCGCAAGACCAAAGAGGGGGACCUUCGGGCCUCUUGCCAUCGGAUGUGCCCAGAUGGGAUUAGCUAGUAGGUGGGGUAACGGCUCACCUAGGCGACGAUCCCUAGCUGGUCUGAGAGGAUGACCAGCCACACUGGAACUGAGACACGGCCAG